rnacentral:rRNA from 1 species
UAGGGAAUAUUGGACAAUGGGCGAAAGCCUGAUCCAGCAAUGCCGCGUGUGUGAAGAAGGCCUGCGGGUUGUAAAGCACUUUCAGUAGAGAAGAAAAGCUUCUGGUUAAUAACCGGGAGUCUUGACGUAACCUACAGAAGAAGCACCGGCUAACUCCGUGCCAGCAGCCGCGGUAAUACGGAGGGUGCGAGCGUUAAUCGGAAUUACUGGGCGUAAAGCGCGCGUAGGCGGCUUUGUAAGUCGGAUGUGAAAUCCCCGGGCUUAACCUGGGAACUGCAUUCGAUACUGCAGAACUAGAGUAUGGUAGAGGGAAGUGGAAUUUCCGGUGUAGCGGUGAAAUGCGUAGAUAUCGGAAGGAACACCAGUGGCGAAGGCGACUUCCUGGGCCAAUACUGACGCUGAGGUGCGAAAGCGUGGGGAGCAAACAGGAUUAGAUACCCCCGUAGUCC